CGAUAGCCUGGCAGGACCGAAUCGCCACAAAGAGCAAAAACAGGGUCCUGGGGACACCAGAGAUUGAGCUGCUGUCUGGACUGGGCUGCACUCAGAGACUGCCUAAAUUAGUGGGUCUCUUUGAAGCGUUGGAUAUGAUGCUGACAGGCGGAUAGAGCUAAGAAGAUGGGUCAAGUGCAGCAGCUUGUGGACCCUCUGGGUCCUGGAACGAAGCCUGCAGAGGAGAGGACUAUUGAAUACCUCUAGGAAAUUGCAGUGGGCGUGGCCAAGGGAAUCGCCAACAAGCAGGUUUCCCUUACAAAGAAGAAGAGCCUCAUGCAGAGUUAAUGAAUCCUGGUUCACACUGGUUGCCAUAAUCUCAUUAAAUCUCUUUGCUCACUUCUAGUUGUGCAAAGACUUUCAAUGGUUUAGGG